rnacentral:lncRNA from 1 species
AGGGAGAUUGCACAGAAAAAUCUAGCAAAACUUCAGGCUUUAGUAAAGCUCCUCUGUGGCGUGAUUGCAACCAUUCAAACUAGGAUGAAUAUGUAUCUCCACGUAAUUGAAAGCUGGUUUAGCUACAGAUUAAUAAACAGACAUUUGUUCUGAGGAACUCUGAUAAGAGCUGUGGGCUGACUGCUCAAAGACCUCGCAGCAACUGGAG